rnacentral:rRNA from 1 species
AUAUUGGACAAUGGGCGAAAGCCUGAUCCAGCCAUGCCGCGUGAGUGAUGAAGGCCUUAGGGUUGUAAAGCUCUUUCGCCGGGGAAGAUUAUGACGGUACCAUAUGAAUAAGGACCGGCUAACUACGUGCCAGCAGCCGCGGUAAUACGUAGGGUCCAAGCGUUAUCCGGAAUCACUGGGCGUAAAGCGUGUGUAGGCGGCGUGUUAAGUGCAAUGCGAAAUCUUGUGGCUCAACCAUAUAGACUGUAUUGCAUACUGGCAUGCUAGAGGAUGGCAGAGGCAAGUGGAAUUGGUAGUGUAGCAGUGAAAUGCGUAGAUAUUACCAGGAACACCAAUGGCGAAGGCAGCUUGCUGGGCCAUUUCUGACGCUGAGACACGAAAGCGUGGGGAGCGAACAGG